ACAAAUGCUGAUUUAAAUGGAAGAAAGGCCAAGAACUCAAAUUUAAGCUAUGAUUCAGGUAAACAUUAGCAGUAGUUAUUAAGAACCCUGCACUCCAUUAAUCCUUAACCUAACUAAUACUUAUUGAGCUUCUGCCACAUGCCAGGCACUCUGCUAAUUAACAAACAUGCAAAGUAGAAAAGCCGUGGUCCAUACCCUGGAUUUUACAUUCUAGUGGAGAACAGUCAUGCCAAUAAUCACAACCCAGCAUGGUAAGUAUAAUAAUAGAGGUGUGUAUAAUGUCCAGUGGAGACACAGGGAAGCCAGGAAGCUUUAACAGAAGAGGCUACAAUUGAGCUGAGAUGUGAAUUUUCUAAACAGACAAAUGGAAAGAGAACCUUCCAGGAAAAGGGAAUACAUUUACAUUUGUCAAAAUACAGACAUGAGAGCAUACUGUGUCUGUGGAAAUACAAAUGUUCUCAGAAUUGCUUUAGCUAAAAGUUCAAGUUAGAAAAUUGCAGAAUAUGAAGCUUGACAGGUAGAGAAGGGCUGGGUCAUUAAAAUUCUGAUAGGCCAUGGCAAGAAAUCUACCUAUAAUCUCUAAUAGGAUAAAACUAUCAUCAAAGGGCAACACUUGAAGGGUAUUGACAGAGGCAUAGUAUCAGAAUUUGCCUUUUCUAAAAAAGAGAAAGCAGAAUUAGAGGUGAAGAGACUGGAAGCAGUAAGAAAACUAAAAUAACAGCAUUUAUUGAACGCUUGCCUUAUGCCAGGUACUAUGCUGAACUCUGUAUUCUCUCAUUUAACCCUCCCACCGAUUUAAUGAGGUCAGAACUAUUUUUAUCUACCAUUUUACAUAUAAGUAAGCUAAGUCUCAGAGUGGUAAAUUAUCUUGCCUAAGGUUUCAUAUAGUAUGUGGCAAAGGCAGGGUCUUAACCCAGGUCUGUCUUCUUAGUAAAUCCACAAUACCAUGCUGUCUCUUAUGACAAUUAAAGAGGCUAUUCUAAUAGUCAAGGCUAGAAACAAAUCCUGAAAAAAGUCACUGGCAGUGAGAAUGAAGAGCUGGGUACAGAUUAGACUCAAACUAAGGAGGCUGAAUGGAUGAGAUUUGGUUACUGAUUAAUAUGGGAGAUGACAUAACUGAUGACAACUCCCAGAUUUCUAGACUGGGCAACUAAAUGGAUAGUGAAAAGCGUUGCCAUUCAGUAGAUAGGCAAUACAGAAAGAUGAACAAGUUUGGAAGAGAGAAAAUUAGUUCUGCUUUGAAUAUAUUGAGUUUGAGGUGCCUGUAGGUAUCCAGGUGGGACGUGUAAGUCGAACAGUCAAGCAGUCAGUUAUAGAUUCUCAUGGGAGAAGCAAUGAAAAGAACACCUUUUAUCAGAACUUAUAGGAAAUAACAAAAGCUAUUCCCACAGGUUUUGAUAGUGUUCUUUUUUGAGCUAGAUUAUACUUUCUCAUUUUAAUUCCUUCUUUGAUCUAAGAGCUAUCCAUAAGAAUAUUUCUUAAUCAUCAAGAAAUUAAUAUUUUGGGUCACAUUUUAAAAAUUAGGUUCACAGAAUACAGCCUGUAAAUCUUCAACACAUUGAAAUUGUUAAGGAUUUCUUUGUGACCAAAUAUGUGAUUGAUGGAAAGUGUUUCAUGGACAUAUCAAAAAUAUUCUCUAUUCGAAGGAUAUAGACUCUAAAAUGAAUAUUAAAUUACAUUUAUUGAUUAUAUUAUUCAAUUUUUAUGUCUUUACUGAUUUUUUUUGUCUACUGGACUCUUUUCUUACUGCCUCCUAAAUGUGCCCAGCUAUCAAAGAGGUGUAUUGAAAUUCUACAUUAUAGUUGUACUUUUAUCAAAUUCCCAUUGCAUUUCUAAUAGGCUUUACACAGUUAGGCUCUUGAGGAUAUUUAAUCCACCAUAUUGCUAGGAAAGAAAGAAGAGUUUCUUAUUUUUUUAACAGUUGUCUAUGAGUUAUCAAUUAAUUAAUAAUAAUUAGUUAUCCAUUCCUGAGUAACAAAUCACCGCAAAACUUGGCAUCUUAAAAAAAAACAUUAUUACUUACCAGUUUCUGUGGUUAGCAAUAUAGGAGCAACUUAGCUGGGUAGUUGUGACUCAGGGUGUCUCAUGAGGUUAUGGUCAAGAUGUUAGCCAGGGCUGCUGCAGUCAUCCAAACACUUGACUGGGACAGGAGGAUUCAUUUCCAAGGUGGCUCACUCAUAAUGGCUGUUGGCAGGAUAUCUUAGUUUCUCACCAUAUGGGCCUCUCUGUAGGGCUUCUUGAGUAUCUUCAUGAUAUGGCAUCUGGCUUCGCCCAGAGUGAGUGAUCCAAGAGAGGGACUGAAGCCACAAUAUAUUUUAUAACCUAGUCUCAGAAGUUAGGCACCUUCACUUCCACCAUAUACUUUGCAUUAGAAGUAAGUCACUGAUUCCAGUCCACACUCAAGGAGAAGAGAAUUACCUUCCACCUCUUGGGGGGAGUAUUCUCAAAGAAUUUGUAGACAUAUUUCAAAACCACCACCACCGUAUUAUCUUUAUACUUAAUUUUUCAGGUUUGUGCACUAUUAAUUCCAGCUCCUUCCUUUCCAAAACUGUACACAUGCAAAAACUUACUCAUACACAAUAAUCUCAAGACGGUACAUAGAAUUCAAGUAAAACUUCUUAAGUAGAUCAUUGGAAUUUAUUGGUUACUCUUCACUUCACAUUUAUUGGGAGAAAAAUAAAUAGCAAUUCACCUUGACUUUGAACCAGCCCUAAUUUGUAAUAGUACCUUCUAUUAUUCAGAGCAUUCUGUUGAGUCAUGUAUGUGCAUAAUUUAAUAACACCAUCCCAGUAUUCCUGUGGACAUACUCUACAUGAAGACCUGCUUUAGUAUGAUUAUCCAGAAAUAUUUACCAAAAUCCACUUAUUGAACUUUUCUAGGUGACAUACAGAGCAUGUUGGACAGUAUUUGCGUGGGAAUAGAUUAAUGACAGGCAGACUAGUGAGCAAACAUUGAGCCGACACAUGUGUUAAAUAAUUAAUUCAACAAAUAAAUGUUAUUGCAUGUUGGCUAUAUGCCAGGCACUGUCAGCUAGUAAUCACAAUACAGCAUAGAAAGUCCUAGAAUGGAAGGAUGUCUAGAGUGCUCUGGGAGCAUUAUGGAGGAUGCCUGUCUACAUAGGCAGAUUUCAAGGAAGGCUCUCUGACGGAGGUGACAUGAGCUGAGUGAGUCCUAAAGGAUGAGAAAUCUAAAAGAGGGACACUAAAGUUACAAAGGAAAUAGUAAGGGAGAAAGGCAAAGGGAAUUGCAUGGUGUUCACUAUCUCUAGAACAUAGAAUAUAUGUGGAAUGGUGACCAGAGGUAAAGCUGUGAAGUAAGCAGUGAUCCCAGAUCUUAAGGUAUAUUUUAGGCCUCCCAGGGAGUCCCUGGAAGGUUUAAACAGAGCAGUGACAGCAGGAAAUAAAGACCUAUUAAGGUCUGUUAAUUAUCAUUUUACCUGUAGCUUGUGUAGGAUACCGAUAACUAAUAAUUUUCUUUUUCUCUCUGAAAAUCCACCCGCAGCUCUUGGAAUCUUCCCUUCUCAUGAUUCACCAAUUAAACAACAAAACCACUAUCAAAAUCACUGUCAACAACAGCUUUAGAGGAACAGUGGAAAUUGCUCAAGUUAGUGUUAGACUUCAGGUGCCCAUUAACUUGCAAGUCAUGGCUGGAGUCACUAGAGGGCGCACUUCAAUCAAAGACCGUAGAAAGCUCUGACUAUAAAGUAUCCUAACAUUUUUUGAAAUCUAAGAAACAAAAAUUCAAAUAAAAGUCCAUACAUCUUUUAAGACACCAGGAUUGUAUCGUGGCUGCUCAUCACUUAAAAUAGUACAAUGGUGUCUGUUUUUGUAAAAAUGAUAAAUUAUUAUAAAAUAUUCAAAUAAUUGAGAAAAGUGAAAAGAAAUGGAAAAGAACUCCGCAAAUAACCAUCAUUAGCACUACGUGAAC